GGUAGAGACUUGGUGGAGCAUCAUCUACAUGAUCGGCAUGACUCUCGUUAGCAUGAAGAAGAACAACCAUAUUAUUUUAUGCAAGGAAGGAAGGCAAAGUCCACUUCAAGUCCAAGUUUCUCUUCUCAUCAUCAGCACCUCCACUUCCAGGCUUCGAACCGCGUGGACAAUGUCGGCCAUGUCUCAACGGCAUCACGCGUUGCAAAGCGUCGGUGGAAGAGGAAGAACAAGACGAAGGACGACGAUGACGACGAAGAGGAGGAGGAGGAGUAGAAGGGGCAAGUGGGUCAAUCGAGAAGGAGAUCCAGAUGCCGUGGAUCGGAAUUAGUCGCAACCAUGAAAGGCAGACCGACGACAAGGAGGUGGAGGACGCAGAGGAGGAGGAGAAGAAAGGGUUAGAGCAUGGCAACAAGGGCAUAAAUUUUCCCCAGGAAGGAGGUUGCAGGUGGUGAGAAAGAGCUAUACCGUAAUUAUGAAGUUGUCGUCCGGAAUGGGUGGAUGGGUCAAGCAGUCUGUGUGCUUUUCAUUGUUUUUCAUUUUUUUUUUUUUUUUUUCUUUCUGCCUGCUGAUCGGGUGUCGAUCAAGGAGUCCACGUGGUGAAGCGUUUUAUCGCUCAGACUCGACGUCUGGCGUCAUUCGCAAUUAGGAUCCAAGCCGCCCUCAUCAGCAAGUGGGGAUAGUGGGCCACUGCGCCCGCAAGUUCGACUACUCAUUCUCGCGCGAUGCCCUCUCAUGGUGUCGUGUUUCCGACGCUUCGUUUCUUCUUCCGAACAGUGUAAUUUCCGUAUUCCGCUAAUAUGACUUUCCCAGAUGCUUAAGAGGCGUUGUUUUUUUUUAUCUCCUUCCUUCCUGGCAACUGACAGAAUUGAAGCAAGGGAUCAGAGUUUUUUUCAGCAACAGUUUACCAAUAUCCUACCGGUUGCAUCAAGCAACCAGUUGGCUGCAGCACUUCCUUCGGCUUGUGACUCUGCUUUCACCAGUAUUAGAAGAUUGCCUGGAAUUCUGCCUGGUUGUUAGCCGGAGCUUCAAAUGAUAAUCAGUGAUUUGUGCUGGUUCUCUCUGUUCCUUGACUAAGACCAAAUUUUCGCUGCGUAUCAGGGGCAGCUAUAUAAGCUGUCUGAGUUUGAAGGAUUCAUCAUGGGGGCGUGCAUCGCGCAUUUAUUUUGCUGGAUCUGAAAUGUCAAGGACAGGUCCUACGGCGUGUGCUUUCCUGUGCGGACACAUGGGAGGACUUUCUCCUCUGUGCUCGAUGACAUAUGUUUACGCUUGUGCACUCAUGUAUGCAACUUGUAUGGACAGAGUGACUAGUCUAGUGUUCACGAGUGCCAAUUUUUGGAUGCCUUCUAUUGCUGUGCUGGUCUGUGAGGCGGCGUAACUCCUUGUUUUGCAACAGUUGACAGUGCACAAAGUAUAUGUGUGGCUGGUGACGUGCGACGCAUUGGGUAAGAUCUAUGUCUCUUCAGUGCGCGGGGAAGUUUGUCCGCCGACGGCAUUCAGAUUGCUAAACUAGACUCGUCAGUAUGUCCAUUACAGUUGCAUACUUGUGUGGAUAGCGUUCAGUUCAGCACCCAGGAGCUACCAUGAAAGUUGCUUUGAAGUUGGAAGGUUGUUGUGAGAAAACGGAAACGAACAACGCUGGUGUUUAAAUGUAAGUGUCACAGGAUUGUUUGACGCCUGUCUGAGCUGUCGAGCAGCGAACCACCCUACCAGCUAAGGGUACUUCUGCGACAAUUAGACAAUCUCAUCCAUCAACUUUCGAGAAGUUCAUUCACGCGAGAUGUGCAGCGAUGGACACCAGGACCUAUGUCAUUCUGUGAGCCUGUUAGUAGCAUGUCAGACUUAAGUUUGUCUUGAAGAAAACAACUGGUCGUGGAAACUUUGGUUGACUAUCGUCUUCUGUGUAUGUGAGCGACAGAAUUUUUUUCAGAAAAACUGGUCACGCGACCUCAUCAAUCACUAAAGGGAUGACCUCCCAUGAGUGAUGUAUCCUGCGAGGGCGGCCGCACCAGAUACAUUCAGCACACAGUGCUAACACAAGCUGAACAUUUUGAGUGGCGAGGAUGUGACAACUGAUUGGUGAUACCUCUGCAGAAUCGACUCCUACAUAUUUUAUGUAAUUUUUAAGAUAUCUUGUAUAGAAUAACAGCAUAUCUCUACUUACGAGCUGUAGGUUGAACGAGAUACUUGAGUAUGAUUAUAGAGGCCAAUCUGGUUCUUUUGUAGGAUACUCAUGGCUCAACGUUGUCUCCUGUGUCCCUCUCAGAUGCCUCUUAUUCAUCAUAAUUUAAUCCACUGUGGAUGCUUUAUUUCAUC